CACAAUACAAUAUAAAACCUUACAUCUUUAUGAAACUGUUUAUUGUCUUUUAUAGAUUUUAACCAAUCAAUCAAUUAUCAAAACAUACUUAGAAUAUAAUACACCUAGUGUAUUUAUCAAAUUUAAAACUUAGAUA
rnacentral:misc_RNA from 1 species